CGGGUUGAGCUGUCAAAAGAGGGACUGUCCCUCCGAAAAAGGGACAGUUGGGAGGUAUGGCACCAGUCUCCAUUCGAUCAACUGCAGUCUGCAGUGUGAGGAGGUGAUAAUAGGAACGUGUGAGUGGAACACCAGGACGCUGAUAAGAGCAAGCCAGCAGCGCCAGUCUCCAUACGUUCGGCUGCAGCCCUCAGUGUGAGGACGCGAUAACAGGAGCGUGUGGGUGAGGGGAACACGAGGACUCUGACAAGACUAAAGACAAGCUUCGCUGUAAACGUUGGAGGGACGGGACCGUUAUCUACUUUAAAGCCAUUCUAACUACAUGCGAGCUUAACACCGGCGAUCCUGUAAGUAUAAAUCAAGCAGGGACCCGGUGUUUUAGUAUAUGGAAGCGCACAUUGGCCUCUGUCUUUCUCUAUUUUUUAUUUGAGGUGGAGCACGAAGGGGAUACUGUGUGUCAAACAGGAGAAUUAAUCACCACGUACCUGUCUUCCAUCUGCCUGUAUUUAAAGAUCUUUACGGAACUGUUUUUUCAAAAAAAGAAAUCGAUCUGUUGUGAGGAAAAGCACUUUGUUGGAUUUGGGUCACAGCUGUCUGUAGUCCCGGUGCAUUCUGCUCCCCUUUGGGUCUCGCCUCGCACCCGCCUCUCUCUCUCACACACAGGAAGUCUCUGAUCUGGGUCCGCUGAACAUUUGGGGAAAUGAAAGAGCAGCCAAGAGGGAAGAGGAUACGACAGUAGAGAGAAGACACAAUCGCAAGAUCAUGAAUACAGUAAAAGCUCUGACUUUGAGGUUUUUAAGUACUGAACUUGUGGGCAUGACUUGGGUAAAAUGUGAAAAGUCCUAAAAAACAAGCCCUAGAAAACUUGCGUAAAGGCUAAGAGGAAGGACUUUAUUACUCGCCCAUGGGUCUGCCAUUCUAGUGACAGUCGUUUUCGCCAUUGCCACGUAAAGAGGUAAAAUAAAUGUAGGUGUAAAUAGUUACGUUAAUGUGCAACCCCUAAGGUUGGUCUGUAGGUUAAUUCCCCUGCAGGAGAUCAUAUGAGUCAGUUUCUUGCUGAGGAACUUACUCUUUUGGCCUAGGACGAUCUAGAGGCAACAUCCAGACCAAACUGACCAGACCUACGGGGAGGUUAGUACCGUCAGGGCUAGCUAGAGGAUAGUAGUGGCAAGUGAGUUUAGGAGUGAAAGUUAGAGAGGGCCAUCGAAUCUUCGCCAGCAUUAGCCACUUCACCAUUUAGUAAAUCUGCCCCAAGGAAUGACUUGGUGGGGGGUAGAGCCCCUAAGGCGAUAGUGCGCCAUUAUUAGAGAUCUGAGAGUGUAGGUAUAGGAUUCGUUCAAGGGACCUACAGUGGAAGCUUGGGCACUGUACAUGGAGGCCUUAUUGAAAUAUGCUCUAGGGUGCGCGUGUGUGUGUGUGUGUGCGUGUGUGUGUGAGAGAGAGCAAUUCAAACAGAGAAGGCAGGAGUAGUAAUUAUUGUACAAUUAUCAUCCUUUGCUGGCAGCCAGAGUCAUCAGUAAACGGUGGGCUGAGUUCAUUGCACUUGUGUGAAGAUGUCUUCUUCUGUCAGCAAAGGUCCUGUAAGUGUCUUACAGUAGUGGGUGCUCACCAGCCAUGGGUGGCCCCUUUACAGCCAUCUUGCCUCACUGACUCCUUCUUGCUCUUCUUGCUCUUCCAAGCCUAACUACAGCUGUCCCUCUGCUGCUCUCCACUGUGCAAGGCCAAUCUUACCGGUGUAAUACUGAACUAUGGCAGAAAGGGCUGAUAAAAAGUCCUUGGCUGGGGCCCACUAUAGUCACUGGCCCUCUGGGAGAUCCACUGGUACUAUAAUAAACCAGUCCAACUCUG